GGGACCACUACUGAUUCCCUUUUUCCAUUAACAAUAAAUACAAUAUGCAUUUUUCACUCAUGGGCCCCACUGGAAUUUUUUCACCACACAACACCUCACCAUUCCCAUUUUAUACCAGACCUCACUAAUAGAUAUAGAAACACAACUCUCUCCACGGGAUACUCCCUCGCUGAGUACGUACAAACUCUCAAGCACCAGAAUUCAUAGGCACACACACCAUUCUUCUCCACUUAUCUUCUCCACAAAAACCACAUACUCUCACUCACACAAACCAGUGAAAGAAAACAGGGGAGAGAACACUCAAUUCUAUUUAUUCUCAUAUUCAUGCAUACACACAAUCACACCUACAUCUACUGAAAUGGCAUGACAGUAGGGAGAUGGGAGAGAGAGAGAUUAAGAGUGAAGAGAAAGAGAGAUCAAGCUUGGGAGAGGGAGAGAGAAAAAGAGAUCGAGCUCGGGAGAGAGAGAGAAAGAGAGAUCGAGCUUAAUUGAGAAAGAGUGGAAAGAUUUGGGAGAAAAAAUAGUCAGAGAAAUAGAGAACAUCGAGGAGAGGGGAGAACCACAAGAUUCGUUGUAUGUUUGACUGUUCCAGCGAAUAAAGACAGUGUUGUGUCAUUUUCUUUUGAGUGGAUUCUUGCGAGUAGGAUUAACUCUAGUGAGUUUUGGUAUGCGGGUUUCUUGGUCUCUUUGGCAACUUCGAUCUCAUUUUGUUUGAUAUUUCCUCUGUCUCGGGUUUAAACCUGUUCGAGUUUACUAUUCUUGAUAUCGAGUUGGUUGGUUAGUUGUUGGGGAUUUAUCGAGGAUUUUACAAGCUCGGACUCUCUUAAACAUUAUUAUCAACAGAAAUCGUCUAUUUGGAGGUACAAGGUAUUAUAAGGGAACAUGUCUUUGAUAGCCGCAGAUUAUUAUGACUACUACAUAGGAGACUAUGAUUGUAGUGAGAGAUUUUAUGGCUACGAAGUUGUUGGAGAUUAUAGUGCCUAUGAAAAUAGCUAUGGUCAAGGCACGGACAGAUUUGAGGGUUACGGUUUUCAAGGGGAAAAUGAGGUGAAUGAAGUGUCUAGUGCUUAUGGUGAACAUGGAGAUGAUGAAGAGCCUUGUGAUGGUCCUUAUGAUGAAGUUGGGACGUAUGCAGGUUCUUACACUUCCCAAACCGAAACUAGAAUUGGUGCAAGGUAUAACCGUUUCAUUUGCAAAGCUUAUGAGAGCUAUGGUGAAGUUCACAUGUGGAGUGUGAAAAUUCAUAUUCUUCAACUUGUAGUACUUCUUAUCAAGGUUGACAUGGUUUGAAUGGUUAUACUAGUUAUAGUAGAGGUUGUCCAUGAGAAGAAGAGGGUAUGCAUCUCUAAAGUCGAAGGGUGAUCAUGUGCCUUACAAUGUUGAUCCAAGAAGGAAUGUUCACUUCGGAAAGGUGAUCAUUUAUGGGGUACUAGGAUGCCUCAUCAUUCUAGAUGAUAGGUGCUAUAAAAACUACAUCCUUCCAUCCAUGGUUGAUUAUUGGGGUUGUUUCAAUAACCUUUACUUGUUCCAUAUUCCUUGAACGGGUUUAAGGUUACCGAGAGGGUAAAGGUUGUCUUCUCCCAAUUUAAAUACCAUGAGGAGGUAUGGUGCGAUAUUUUUCCCUUGACAUAUGUUCAUGUAAGAUUAGGUGCCGAUUGGUUUUCACAACAUAAAGUUUCAAAUGUGCAAAAUUGGCCUAUUGUUGUAAGAGACUAAUGGGGAAAUUAUCUCAUUACAUCUAUUCUGCCCAAGCCGCAAAGAGAAGUGUUCACCUACUCCAAUCCAAAUUACUAUGAGAGACAAAAGAUUUAGAGGAGUAAGGGUGUGCAAGGUGGAAAUCCGAGAGUGAAAAAAAGAGAGGUUGUGAGGAGUAAAAGUGAGGGGAUUGCCACCAAACCGAGCUAACUAUAUUUGUCCUUUUAUUUCUAAGGACAUUUCUUCAGGUACCAACAUGGCAAGAGGGCGAGCACAAGGCCAAAGAGAAGUUGCUGCCAAAGCAUGCGAGGAACCUUCACACCACAGCAAACAAAAAUCUACUCAAGAACUUCAAGGUAAAAUAGCUAAAUCUUGCACUUUUGUGCAUGUGAAUGAUAAUUGUGUGGCUAGUAUCCCAUUGAGUGUGAGGUGUAGCUUGCCUAUAUGUGAGUCUAUUGUUUCUUUGCCACUUGAUGAUGAUGUACAUGUUGUGAGUAUGGAUAUACUAGUUUAUCCUUUUGAUGACUGAAUCGACUCUUCUUGUAAGAUCAAUUUAUGUCCACCUAGGUUAAAACCAUUGUGUUAAAUGAAAGUACAUCGUCUUGUAAAAUUUGUGUUGAUCAACUAAUGUGUGAAAAUUUCCCACCACUUGAGGAUGUGCGUGAUGUGAUUAAUGAAUCUCAAGUGUAUAAUGAUGUUGAAAAUAUUGAUCAAAGGAAUAGGAGUGAACCCCUGAGCUUGCCCUUUGAUUAUAAUAUUUGCUUGGCUCAUAAGGAUAAUCAUGUGCUUGAAACAUCUUUAAAACUUGAUAAUGAACUUUUAGAGAGUGAACUUACUUAUUCUUAAUCUACCUGCAGAAUAGAUCAUGCUCUUUUUUAGAUAUAAUGUCUUGUUUGAAGAUGGUAUAAUCACUCCCAAUGAAUCUAGUGGUAAGAAUGAUGGUAUAGAUUGUCUUGAAGGCUAUAGCCUAUACGCUAACCCAGUAUGGUGUGACAACAAUCCUUCUAAAGGUGGAAAUCUCUUUUUGAAAGAUGAGAGUACUCUUAAGGGUAAGGAAUGUGUAGUCCUUCUUGACAACCUGAGGGCAAAGGUGUCAUUGACUCAUUGGGGUAAUAUUUCUAAAUGUGCAUCCUUGCUUGACACGCUUGUGCUUAAAUUGCAUGAAUCCCAACUUUUGGAUGCCAAGUUGUCUAUUGUUUGAAGGAAAGAGAGUGUAUGUGCUUAAAUUCUGUCUUCACCCAUGCAUGUCUUUACACUUGAUUUUUUCCUAUACUACUUCUUUGUCUAUGAUGACAUCCAUGCUAGUUUUGGGUUUCCAUUAAGUAGAGGUAAAGGUCUUAUUGGUUGGUCCACUUGUUUGAGUGACAAUGCUAUGUGGGAUUGGUGUACUUUGAGACCAAUGGUAGCACCACGUUUGAAGAGGCCACUUGAAGAGGUAAUGAAACAAUUGUGCUUUAUGAUUCCUAAGACAAGGGUAGCCUUAUCUUUUGGACUUAGUGAUACCAUUAAAACCUUUGUAGUUUAUUUAUCUCUUGAUACUUGUCUUAGCCAUUUACUUUGUAAUAUUCUUACUAAACUUUUCAUGACUAAGACAAAGGAUUCAUGGUUAUAUCUCGAGUAUAUACCACCUUGGCAUGAUGAUGUCAUUUGUUAUACUAACUUUAACCCUCAUGCCAUGAGAAAGUUGUGCUUGCUUGUCCUUUCUUUAGUUUUGCAAGGUAUGGAUUCGAGGUUGAAUUCUUUUCAAGAAGGGGAGGAUGAUACGAGCCAAAUGGCCAUCUAUUCUAUUGAACACAUCAUUGUAUGCCAAUGCAUAAAGACUCGAGACUUGGUCACCUCAUGGACACAAGAACAUACAUGGAUGACCCAUUUUGGGCAUGACAUAAGGCAAAUCCGUAUGUGGAAGAUUGAGUGGGGGCUUACCUUUGAUACCAACCUGAGACCACAAGUGUUGAAGCAUGACCCCACGGUUGUGGAGCAUUGAAGAAUCACCCUUCAUUAAUGGUAUUUCGGGGAUUACACUUGUUGGAAAGACACUUCAUGGCUACCCCUUUCAUUAAGGGUAUUGUGGUCAUUUUUGUUAUGUAAUAAUCUAGCCUAUCUAUAUUCUUCUAUUAGGUCAUUUUCUCUUUAGUUUAUUAAUGAUGAUAUUGUGAAAGACUACUUCUCUCUUUGAGAGUGUAACACCUUUAGUGUAGGGCUUGGUAAAUCCAAGUUGUUAGUGUAGGACUUAGAAAAGCCAAUAUUGAUAUUUUCCUUAGAAAUGGUGGUUUUAAGUGGAGUUGAUUCCCUUAGUGGUCACCGUAAGAAGAUUGGUGUUUGAUUAUUACGACUUUGAGGGUCUCUGCAUUUGAUAUGUGUGUUGGUUCUCAUUGUUUCAUAAGAUUUUAUGUCAUCUUGCCUAUCUUGACAUUA